rnacentral:rRNA from 1 species
UCUACGGGUGGCAGCAGUGAGGAAUAUUGGUCAAUGGGCGCGAGCCUGAACCAGCCAAGUCGCGUGAGGGAAGACGGCCCUACGGGUUGUAAACCUCUUUUGCCGGGGAGCAACGGGCGCCACGUGUGGCGCCACUGAGAGUACCCGGAGAAAAAGCAUCGGCUAACUCCGUGCCAGCAGCCGCGGUAAUACGGAGGAUGCGAGCGUUAUCCGGAUUUAUUGGGGUUAAAGGGUGCGUAGGCGGGUUAUCAAGUCAGCGGUAAAAUCGUGGAGCUAAACUCCAUCCAGCCGUUGAAACUGAUGGUCUGGAGUGGGCGAGAAGUAUGCGGAAUGCGUGGUGUAGCGGUGAAAUGCAUAGAUAUCACGCAGAACUCCGAUUGCGAAGGCAGCAUACCGGCGCCCGACUGACGCUGAAGCACGAAGGCGUGGGUAUCGAACAGGAUUAGAUACCCCAGUAGUC